rnacentral:rRNA from 1 species
AUUGAACGCUGGCGGCAUGCCUUACACAUGCAUGUCGAACGGCAGCACGGGUGCUUGCACCUGGUGGCGAGUGGCGAACGGGUGAGUAAUAUAUCGGAACGUACCUUAUUGUGGGGGAUAACGCAGCGAAAGCUGUGCUAAUACCGCAUAAUCCCUUAGGGGGAAAGCGGGGGACCGUAAGGCCUCGCGCAAUUAGAGCGGCCGAUACCUGAUUAGCUAGUUGGUGAGGUAAAGGCUCACCAAGGCGACGAUCAGUAGCCGGUCCGAGAGGACGAUCAGCCACACUGGGACUGAGACACGGCCCAGACUCCUACGGGAGGCAGCAGGGGGGAAUUUUGGACAAUGGGGGCAACCCUGAGCCAGCAAUGCCGCGUGAGUGAAGAAGGCCUUCGGGUUGUAAAGCUCUUUUGUCAGGGAAGAAACAGCAGCUCUAACACAGUAUGCGAAUGACGGUACCUGAAGAAUAAGCACCGGCUAACUACGUGCCAGCAGCCGCAGUAA